GGCUCGGUGGCGCAAUGGUUGCGCGUCUGACUCCAGAUCUGAAAGUUGCGUGUUCAAAUCACGUUCGGGUCA
rnacentral:tRNA from 1 species